rnacentral:rRNA from 1 species
GAUGAACGCUGGCGGCGUGCCUAAUACAUGCAAGUCGAGCGAACAGACGAGGAGCUUGCUCCUCUGACGUUAGCGGCGGACGGGUGAGUAACACGUGGCUAACCUACCUAUAAAACUGGGAUAACUUCGGGAAACCGGAGCUAAUACCGGAUAAUAUAUUGAACCGCAUGGUUCAAUAGUGAAAGACGGUUUUCCUGUCCCUUAUAGAUGGAUCCGCGCCGCAUUAGCUAGUUGGUAAGGUAACGGCUUACCAAGGCGACGAUGCCUAGCCGACCUGAGAGGGUGCUCGGCCCCCCGGGAACGGGCCCACGGUCCAGACUCCUACGGGAGGCAGCAGUAGGGAACCUGCCGCAAUGGGCGAAGGCCUGACGCAGCAACGCCGCGUGCGUCAGGAAGUUCUCCGGAUCGUAACACUCUCUUAUUAGGGAAGACCAAAUGUGUCCGUAACUAUGCACGUCUUGACGGUACCUAAGCAGAAAGCUACGGCUAACUUCUUG